UACGAGGGGGGCAAGCGUUGUUCGGAAUUAUUGGGCGUAAAGGGCGCGUAGGCGGUGCGGUAAGUCUGAUGUGAAAUCUCCGGGCUCAACUCGGAGUCUGCAUCAGAAACUGCCGUGCUUGAGUGUGGGAGAGGUGAGUGGAAUUCCCGGUGUAGCGGUGAAAUGCGUAGAGAUGUGGAGGAACACCAGUGGCGAAGGCGACACGCUGGGCUCAUACUGACACUGAGGUGCGAAAGCGUGGGGAGCAAACAGG
rnacentral:rRNA from 1 species